CUGCCAUAAUUGCUAUUAUUGUUAAGAAAUGCAUUUGAUAUGAUUUGUAUAUUUUAUUUUGUCAAGUAAUUAUUUUUAUUUUAACUGCUCAAGGGAAGCACUUUCUGUUUCAUGUUGCAAGGGGGACACUUUUACGUGUGACACAUAUGAUUUGGUUUAUCGAUGUAUUAUAAAGUUGUUCAAGACGCACAUCCAGCCAUAAGAAAGCCAUAACGUCAUACAAGGACUGAAAGGUGACGUUUGCAACGGUAAACUCUUUUUGUGUGAAGGAACAUUCUUCUUUUUGAUCAUUUUUGUGUUUGUGACGAAGCGGACUCAUUCCCUGUUUGCGUAAAUGCGGCCAGCGAGGAUGUCUGAGGGGGCGGAGCCAAAUCAUUACGACAUCAGACUCACCUGGACUGAUCACCUGAGAACUACUUAACCUGUCACUCGGUCUGAUUGAUUCUUCUGUUCUGGUUUUAUCUGGUGUGUUUGUCCAACCUGCAGCUCAGACCAGAGAACUACAGACUCUUCACAACCUCCUCAAACUCUUGGUACAGGACCUCACCACACGGGUCAAGAAGGUUUCUGUCUCAUUUCUACUCUGAAGCUCACCUUCUCCUGCUCAAACUGCUGACAAAUGUUUCUGCUGCUCUAAAGUCUGGUCUCCAGAACUUCCUAAAAAC
ensembl:lncRNA